ACCUAGACUGUAGAGGCCCAGAGAGUUGAGGAUGAUAGUGUGGGAGGCUGAACUUGGGAGGCCAAGUCAGUGGGCGGCCCAGAGAAUAGAGUUUCAGAGUGGAAGACUUAGAGUGGCAGUCUCAGUGUGUGGGAAGCCAAGUGAUUUGGAGGCCAACUUAGCGGCAGGCCCAAAGAGUAGAGGCCCAGUGAAUAGGAAGCCCAGAGAAGGGAGGCUCAGCAAGUGGGAAAUCCCAAAUGAGAGGCCCAAGGCAUGCCAGGAGCAGUGAAUUGGAGGCCCAGGGAAUUGAAGCUUAGAGAAUGGAAGGCCCAGAGAGUGGAAGGCACAGUGGAGGAAAGCCCAGAAAGGGGAAGCCUCAUAGUGUUUGCCCCCAGCAAACUGCUUUCCAGCAAGUACAGGUCCAGUGAGUGCAGACCAAGGGAGUUGGUGGCUGAGAGAGUGGGAAGGUGAAGGAGUGGAAGGCCAAGGAGUGGAUGCAUAGAGAAUGGGAGACUUGGUGCAUGGAGGCUAAGAGAGCAGGAUGUGAGAGAGUGAAGGCCAGAGAGCUGAGGCCCAGGGAGUGCCAGACCCAGCCUGUGGAGGCCUCUGGACUGGGAGGUUCAGAGUGUGGAAACCUGUAGAAAGCAGGAGGCCCAGAAAUGGGUGUUAUGGAGAGGACAGGCCCAGGGAGCGGCUCAGAGAGCAUUUUUAGCCGUGAGCAGGAACAUUUUCCUGAAGGUAAGUGUCAUAGCUUCUGAGGAUACUGGAAUCUGUUCCUCUAGGUAUGCUCUUCCUGUUUUCUUCCUAAAUGCCAAAUUUCCUGUUAUUUCCCUUAAAUGCCCACUGAGAAUCACAUGUAUUAUGUCUCACUAGACGCAGAAGUGCUGUGCGAAAAGUGACAAUAAAUGGUGUGUGUAGGACCAGUCUGUGGGGACUCGCACACAGGCUGAGCAUCUUCUUUCGGGUGCUGGUUUCACCCCAUCCCACAGGCUGGUGCCAGAGGAUUUGGGCAACAGAGGCGAUGAAGUAUCAGCCCCAGAGCCUGAGCUUUCCUUCAACAACCCCAAAGCUGAGGUGUGACCGGGAGCUGACACCAGGGCCUGCCUGCACCCAGCUGCCAUGCAUGCUCUCCAGUGCUCGAGUGGGCCCAGUCGGCCUUGAAGGCCCCAAACCCCGGGUUGUGUCUGAUCAUGCAGCAUCCAAGAUUAAUUAGAAGGAUUUUUGCCAACCCACCCACAGAGAUAAAUGCAGAGAAGCCAGUUUGGUAAUUGCCCUCAGUCCCAGUGCACUUCUGGAUUGUUGCAGGGCCAGGGUGAAGUUGUGAGAGGAAGUAUUUCCUGGCCAGGGCGGAGCCAGGGAAGGGAGCAUCAGGAAGGGCCCUGGUGAGGGAGGUGGGCUGGAAAGGGAGCAGGGAGGCUGUCAGAGGCGAAGCUGCUUCCCUGGUGCAAGAAAGAAUGGGGUGGCCAUUUUGGCGGUUGCCCUUUAGCUGCAUGUGCCAGCAAAGCGACAGUGUGAGGGUGGCAGCUGAGGGAGCCAUCUUCCAGAGCACUCUUCUGGGUCACAUCCAGGUCACGCUACAGAGAGGAGCCUCAUCACAGCGUAGCACUCGGGGACAUCGUUGCCCAUGUCACAUCGACGAGCAGUGAGAGCCCAGGGCUGCACGUACCUGUUAGCAUCGCCCUCCACAGGAACAGCUCACCAGGACGCUACAUUUAGGGUGCUUGGACCUGAAGACCGGAGUGUGAUACAUGCAGACAGAUUGCUCUGUGCAGGAGAACUGGAGAUUUAAGGUUACACUGAGAUGGAAGGAGGAACUGGAAGAGGGAAGAUUAACCUUUCACUGGCCACAAUUCGUUCCCUCUUAUCGUGGAGGAUUCGGCAACCCACCCCCCUCCAAUCCAGCCUAUCUGUCUGAAUUGCUGAAAGCAUAAUGCUCCCAUAUGAGAGAUAAGUCUGAGCCUUAGAUGUGGCCACACUGCAUCAGGCUGCAUCUCCGUGAGGACUGACACCGCUGUCUUCAGCUGCUUUGCUGUCCCUCUGAACAUUUCCAUCUAAACUCCAGGUGGGUCUCCUCAUCUUGGGCUACUCUGAACUUCAGGUAAGUGUGCUGUCCCCUAAAGUCUUAAAGCUAUGUAGCGUGGUAGUGCUUUGAGGUUUUUUGAGAUGAUAAGCAGAAGUUGGAUGCCUGUAGGACAUAAAGUUGCUCCUUUCUAUGAUAGUUGCGAGUUGAAAUAGUUGUGUAAUAUGAAAGAUGGUGAUUUUUGUCUUUGUAUGGUGAUUAUUAUUAUUAUUAUUAUUACUAUGCUUCUAUCUGCCUGCCUAUUUUUAGCUCCCUUUAUGUGAUUCUGCUUUGUCAGCAUGGUUAACUUUCAGAUAUCCGUAUGGAAGAGAUAUGCCCAUCUUGUGAGCCUUUACCCAGCUGACUGUCUGUAGAUAGCAAGAUUUUAUGGGAAUUGGUACUUUUAAGAAAGUCAAACUUCUUUGAUUUUCUGUCAAAAUAGUGGAUGAUGAUUUUGUUUGUAAUGGUCAGACCUGUCAGUUCUCUGAGCAUUAUGGUCUUUGUUGGACAUGAAGUCAAAAUUGUUACGGUCUUAAGCAAUGCUCCUGUUGACUAUGUGGGUAGCUUUUUCUUAGGUAGACAUCUCUACUCCUGCAGACACCUCUCUAACUUUACCUGCAUCACUCAAUGAAAGUACCACCAUUUUGAAGUGAAACGUGCAGAACACACUUUAGCAGCACCUAGGCUCUGACUGAGAUUGGUGGCUUUAUCCCUGCUUAAAAUGGGGGCUGCCCCAGGUUUCCACUGCAUCCUUUUCCUGGGGUCCCUGGUCUUGGAGGAUGGUUGGGAGAACAAAGGGUGAUCUUGUCCUCCCUGCCGCAGUUUCAGACCCACCUCAAGGCAUCAACAGGAGCUUCAGGUGUGCCAGCUAAACUCAAUGGUGAAUUGGCAGUCACAGCUGACCUCUGUUAAGACACUUAGUGGGCAAAGGACAGUGGCCAAGCCCUGAGAAGCCACCUGGACCUCCUGUGCUUUUUGAAUCAGGCUCUGAAUUUUCCCUGCCUGUGCUGGGAAGUGUGGCGAGGCCUUUUCAUGUGUGUAGCAGAUAAAGCUGUUUUUGUUGUCCAUUGAAAGCAUGGCAGCCUCUGCCUAAAUGUCUGAACCUGUGUCAGGUACCCCAUCAUGGGGACUUUAAUGGCUCAGGGGAGGAGGGCUUAUGGGGCAAAACCCUUCCUCACCGAGCCCCCCACCCUGAUUUCAGGGGUUUCACCUGCAGUGCAUGGCUGUCAGCUUUUUGAGAAGUAAAAAUGCACUUGAGUAUUAUCUGCAGAUAUAAUUGAAUGUAUGUACAAAUCCACUGUACAUACACCUGUGCUGCCUCCUCAGCAUGCAUAAGUAUUCCCUGCAUGCGCAUGUGUUCUCUGCAAGCUACACUACACAUUAAUAAGACAAUCCGUAUAUUGCAUUAGGACAUACUGUAUGCAGACAAUGCUCCAGGUACUGAAUUUUUAUUUUUUUUGUAAAUCCUGAAAUAUGGCUGAUAUGGUCCGCUGCAAAAUGAACCUAUAUUGGAAAUGGCAAAAUUGUAAUGUAAAAUAUACUGGGGUCAGUGGGGUGUGAUGUUUUUUGCAUACAUUUUUUCUCCCUUGACCCAUGCCAUUCUCCUGCAUAUAGGGGGGAAAAAGCUUCAUCUCACACAGAAAUGUGAUGUCCUUUACUGCCAGAGGCUGUUGCUGUUUUAAAUGAGGAAAAAGCACAAUGCAUGAAGAAGGAAAAUUAAAGCAUAUUCAUUUUGGAAAUUAGAUACGGUGUCAGGAGACUCUCUGGAAAUAGCACGGUUUGAAUGGAGCACCAGUCUACAAGACAGUUCACUGAACUUUUGACCACUAUUUAUACUAUGGGAGCUUUUGAAAUGGGAAGACAGCAAAGUAUUUUAUAGCUGUUUAAUAGUGGAUUGUGGUUUUUACUAGACAUUUAUCUUCUCUUUGAGUGUAUGUAAGAUAAGUAAACAUUAUGUAGUGUAAUUGCGUUACGUUGGAAGCACUUUAAUUUAGGGUUGGUUUAUUUUCCCUAUUUGCGGUACAUCUCAUCUCGAGCAGCAAAGCCACCCAUCUGUGCAAGUGGGUGCAGUUGCCACCUGAACGCCUGACCCCAUCCCUGAUGUGUAGCUGGGGUCGUUCCUGGGGUCAGCAUUGAUCUAAGGGAUGCUUUUGCUGCUUUUUGUGUUGGGGAGGAAUGUCUAAAACGGGGGUGGCCGUGGCCCUGGACCAUUUGAGAAGCUCAAGUAACUUCUAGCUCCAGGCCUGCCUUAAUCUCACUCUCAUUUCUACAUAGUGAAACUCAUUUUCAUUUUGUAUAACAGCUUCAGUCCCUCUUUAGCAUUCCAGGUACACUAAGCAAUAUACCCUUCCAGGGCUGGCAGCUAUCUCAUUACAAUUGUAAUGAUGCAUCACCAGGCAGACAUGCAUGAAUGAAACACUGUUUGCAAAACCAAAAAUGCGUUUGGGGUAUUUUUAGGUCCUAUUAACUUGGGCUGUUGUUCACGGAAAUAAUGUGGAAAGAUCAGAAUUUUGGUGUAAUCCAAGAGAAUCUGGUCUUGGAGCAGUUUUAGCCCUUAAUUGAGACUCUUCUUUCUCUUCUUCCUUCAACUUAUACGUAAAUUUAGCUCAAAUUGACAGGAAUGUUGCACUGUAGUGCUUGGUGUCAGAGGGACCGACCACAUGAGAGCCACGCUGCCACCAUCAGGCGAUUUCGUGCAGCUGAGGGUUCAAAUGGAGCUGUGCAGCACGGUGUUAGGUGUGCACAGCACUGUUUUCCUUACACCCUGCUGCCCUGGGGAUGAUCAUAAAAUGGAUCUACUGUUGCUUGAAACUGUGAAGCAGUACAAUAAAGUCUCUCUCUUUUUUUUUUUUUUUCCUUGUGACAUUAGGAGAAGUCUAAGCUGAUGGACACCUAUUGUGUAGUGAUCUCUUUGUCUUUUGUCAUUUAGCCCUCCAUAUAGUGUAGCCUACAUGGGGAGGAAAAAAAAUUCUCCUUCUGCCAUGGAAGAUGCUUUUCUUCCUUGGACCAGAAGCUCCUCUCCUAUCACUAGCCAGUAACAACCCUUCUGUUCAUCCUUAUGUCAAAGCCACACUACAGAGCUAAUAGAGAUCGCUGACAAUUAGAGAUGAGCUGAAAUGAUUUGGCAAACUCCGGGUGCGUGUGAACCUGAGGGUGUUCUCGGAUCCCUUCGAGCCUGUCGGUUGUAUUGCCAGCCGCACGCUUCCCACAUCCCCCAUCCUAAUGGGGAGAGCAGUUGGGAUGAUGAGUCCAGCUGGGCCUGGAGGAUGGAGAAGAAUGAGAGGGGGAGUCUUGAUAGUGAGGCAUCUCUCCCCUCGGAGGCUGCUCUUUGUUGCUUCUUCAUGCCAAGUCAUCCCAGGCACUGUCAGGUUUCUUCCCUCUGUGCGAGAUGAAUGUGACAAUAUCCAAGGAUGGCUCUCUGUCUUUUGCUUGUGACUAGCUAGAUGAGGUGUAUGUGGAGAGACGAUGUCACUUGAACAGGCAAGAUGGACAACGUAUAAGACGGUAUUUUUACAAGGACUACAAUUCCCUAUCAGCUAGCACAUCAUCAUUUUUUGUUGUUUGCUGUUUUGUUUCCUCGUUUUUACAGUGAGUGUUCUUGCCCCCCCAAGACUGAUGAAGCAUUUCAGUCUCAUGCUUCCAGGUUGUCCAGUAUGAUAUAAUGAAGUAUCUUGGUCCUUAUUAUGCCAGAAAAUUAUGGAUUGACUGAUAAUAUCAUGUUUUCCUUACUGGUUAUUCAAUUUGAGACUGCUUCAAGGUAACCAGUUCAAACAAUAACCCAAGUAUUGAACCUACUGUUGAACCUACCUUAACGUACCCCAAAAUAAAUGCCUCAAAAUUAAACCUGCAUAAGGUGAUGGUCCAUCACUAACAAAAAGGAGCUGGCUGAUGGCUAAGAGAUGGCCAGCAGCAGUGUGUUUCCACCUUGAAAGACUGAGCUUACCUUUUAUGCUUGCUGCAGCCCUGUGCCAGCCCAGAAGGGUUUCGCUCAGCCCCAACUAGCUGUCUGUGGUAGUGUGGAGAGAAGCUGGCUCCCCAGCUUCAUUAGGGAGCUCUGCUGCAGGAAAAUUGCUUAGGGAAUUUUGGUAAAUCAUUUGAAUUCCUGUGAAACUGAAAUGAAGAGGUGUGUUUUCAUUAUUUUAUUUUAUUGUCUAUAAGGCUCCAGGGUCUCUUUCUCUUUCAUCAUGGCACAGAAAUCUGUACUUCAGUAUUCCCAUCUGCCAGUGUGCCUGAUAUUUGUGGAGGACUUCAGAAGGACUUCAGAGCCUGAAGUCUAGAGAAACUUCUCACCUGCACCCUGGACAGAUUCGUGCAUAUGGAAACAGUGGUGGUGAAGAGCAACAGGUGUCUGAAAACUAGAAAUUAGUAAAUUUCAAUUUACAUUUUGCAGGCAUGUGAAAUAUUUCUGUCCAGCCUUCAGAAAUGUGGUGGGGGCCCAUGCUGAUAGUUCUCUGUCCUAUCCUACAUAACUGCACACAUUUUGCUGUGGAAAAACACACAAAACCCAGACCAGAGCUGAGGCCCAGAGGUAAUCAAACAAAAAAAGCCUGAAUGACUUGGCCACGUUGUUUGCAUUUUAGACCAUGUGAACAUACGUUCACUGCCUGUGAACAGAUCCACAAUAAUUUUAGACUUGAUUGCUGUUCUUUAUUAAUAGAAAUGCCUAAUGUAAUGCGGUGUCAAUGCCAAGUCCUGACAACCUUUCCUUUUUUUCUUUCUCUUUCAAACAUAAUGCAUCUAAGGCCAGAUCAAAGUCUCCCCCAGCCUCUACUUGCUUAAGAUCUGCUUGCUCAACCAGGGCACCUUGUCAGGGUGGAGAUGAUGCUGUCUCAUCAGCAAAUGCUGUAAAUAUCACUCAGAUGAUCUUCUUAGGCUGAAAAUAGCUUCUGUGGAAUGCUAAUUUAAUGUAGAUUCAUAAAAUGAAAGGAAUUGAAUGAAUGGCAGUAGGUUUGCGAAUAAUUUGAAAAUUGAAGCAGUGAUAAAAUUUGUCAAAUAACAUGUGCUCUAUCAGUAGUUUGCUGUGCUCUACGUAGUUACCAAAUGGUCUUGGUUCUCCAUUAAUUUUUGAGGAAAAACUGGGUUCUUUUUUUUUUUUUUUAGCUCCAUCAUUUUUCUAUUUCAAGGGCCAUUGUUUACUUUUGAAGUGGAUGAAAGAUGAAUUCAGGCUACGUUCUGACAUUACAAUGAAAUUGUCGAUAGAAAUCAAUGACUUGUCGCACGAUGAGUUAGGGUCUAUAAGGCAGCCUAACAGGGUCCUUAUAUCUUCAGCCUCCUUCAUUGUGCUACCCUCCUCAGGAGCCAUGCGGCUGUAGUGUUAUUAAAGGUGUUGUCAUACUUAAGGGGAUUAUAAUUGAGUUUAAUAAACCAGGAAGCUGAGGCAUGGCACCCUAAUAUUGGCGCCAAAGUUACAAAGCGUCAUAUUGUCUGCAGAGCCUGAUAUUUGUAUCUGCAUUUAUUGACCCUGGAGAGAUAAUAUAAACAGGAGAGAGAGGAGAGAGGUCAAAGAGCUCACCUUCGUCUGCUGCGGAUCGCCAUUGGGCGGAGCAGGUUUGCACACCCUGUGCUGAAAUACCACUGUGUCAACCCUGUCCUCCCAAAGACCUCACCUUGCCUGGCUUUGGCUGCUUUUUAGCGUUUGCAUCAGAAUGGCAAUAGGAUUAUAUAGCCUUGGGAGUGCCUAUGGUGUGUGCGUGGAGUCACCCCCAUGAAGAUGUUGGUGUCACCCAGAUGUCUGCUGGUGGGGUGCAUGUUGGACAUGUGCUGUGCAGACUGGGUGCUGAUGGGUUGCUGGCUGCUCCCAGGACACCAUGAAAUGCCUUUUUCCUUCCUGAUGAAGCAAGGAUGUGUCCAAAGCUCCCACCUCCCAGCCCAUGCUAUUCACAGCCCCUUUGCUUGGGGCAGCUCAGAGCCAGUUGUCCUCUCCUGCUGCCUGAGCUCCAGCUGUGCCACAGUGGCUGGGAGGAUCUGGGUGCUUCAGCCUCCAAAUGGCCUGGCCUGGCCAGGAAGGUGGUCUCCUUCACCCAGAGGGAUGGUGCAGCCAUCUUGCUCCCUGUGCCGCCCCCAAAUUCAGCCAGAUUGUAAAUUACACAAUCUGGCUUCAGGCUGUUUCCGGAACAGAAGCGCCUUCAGCUUAAACUAGCUCAGCCCCAGGAAGA